UUCAUCUUCACCAGAUUUUAAGCACAAGUAUACUGGUGAAAACCUUUGGCUGAGGCCAGAUGACCCACCAUGGGUCAAAAGACAACUGCAAUUGCUUGACUUGGAAAUGGCCAAGCAAAGGCAUGCACUAGGUGUAUGUGAAUUUGGCAUGGAAAGAACAAGCCAACUCCACUUGUGGCAUGUCUUUUUCAGAAGCCCACAUGAAUGGUGGGAUAAUAGGCAAAAUAAGAAAAACUCACGGUUACCAGAUUUUAAGCACAAAUUUUCUGGUGAAGCACUUUGGAUGAGUGAAGAUGAUCCACCAUGGGUCGAAAGGCAGCUCCAGUUUCAUGAUUCCAAAAUGGCAAAACAAUGCCAAGCGGAAAAUAUCUUCAAAUGGAAUUUUGAUGGUGGGGAACUAAUCUAGAGGAUCUUUAAUAUUAAUGGAGUUAUAACACAACGUAGUUGCAUUUCUUCUUGUUUGUACAUAUUGACUGAAUACAAUGUACCAAAAAUCUCAUUGAUUGCUUAUGACUAGACGCCGGAGCUGAUUUAUAUUAAAGAUCCU
rnacentral:misc_RNA from 1 species